CAACGAAGACCCUCUCAAGUGGUGGUCAGACCGCCUGGCCCUCUUCCCCCUGCUGCCCAAGGUGCUGCAGAAGUACUGGUGCGUGACGGCCACGCGCGUCGCGCCUGAGCGUCUCUUCGGUUCUGCCGCCAACGUGGUCAGUGCUAAGAGGAACCGGCUGGCUCCCGCACACGUGGACGAGCAGGUUGCUGCCAGAGAGCCUGCUUCCUGCUCCCUGCCGAAAUUCACUUUGUGGAGUUGGUCCUUAAAACUGGGCGGUGGCCGAGCAUGGUGGCUCACGCUGAGGUCAGGAGUUCGAGACCAGCCUGGCCAACCAACAUGGUGAAACCUCGUGUCUACUAAAAAUACAAAAAACUAGCCAGGUGCGGUGGCACACGCUUGUAAUCCCAGCUACUCGGGAGGCUGAGGCGGAAGAAUCGCUUGAGCCCAGGAGGUGGAGGUUGCAGUCAGCCGAGAUCACGCCAAACAAAAGUGGGUGGCUCACGGGUCCGGAGGUUAUAUCUUCGGUGUCUCAGCCCUAAAAGUCCAGUUCCCCCGUGUGGCCAGCUUUUCCACAUAGGGUGUUUUUUAUUUGAUUACGGGAAAAGACUCUUGAUUCUUCUCUUUUAAAGUCAAUACCAUAGGGGAAAUGAAUUUUAAAAUAUUGCCCCCGGAGGGGUUUUCCAUGGCUGGAUUCUUGCGAGUUGCUUUCAGUCAUUCAGGGAGACAGAAAGAUGUUUUCCAACAUGUAGAACUGCUUUUUAACUGGAGGAAAAAUACUUCACGAGGCUUAGCAUAUUGCUUGGAUUCUACCUGCAGUGGGUUCUCUGCCUCCGUGAAGACAAGCUGGGCUGGGGAGGACGGUGUCUAGGAGGGAUG
rnacentral:sRNA from 1 species